AUGGGCCACCGGGGUGGAGCUUGUCGUCAAAUUCCUGCCGGAGAAGUUGACCAAACCGUUGGUCACUACAAGGACGCCUGGCUGCGGCAACGCAUAUCUAUGUUUCAGGAUACUGACCAGCCCGUUGGUGAUCCUGUAGUACUCGGCGCCUCCGACGAGGACGACCUCGGCGACGACGGCGAGGAUGAGGUUGAUGGGGAUGCUGUUGCCGAAGUAGUUGAGGGUGUUCCCGUCAAGGAGCAGGGCGCCGGUCUGCAGGAUGUCUUGAACCAAACUGCCUCGGGACCGCAGUUUGCGCCGAACUUGUUGAGCGCCUCGGGGAUGAUGAAUCCGGCGGCGCCGAGCAUGGCCCACCUGGCAUGGAUGAGCUCAAAGGCCUGGUACCUGCAGCAUUGA
rnacentral:rRNA from 1 species